AAUGAACGCUGGCGGCAGGCCUAACACAUGCAAGUCGAACGCUCCGCAAGGGGAGUGGCGCACAGGUGAGUAACGCGUGGGAAUAUGCCCUUCGGUUCGGAAUAACACAGGGAAACUUGUGCUAAUACCGGAUACGAUCUACGGAUGAAAGAUUCAUCGCCGAAGGAGUAGCCCGCGUAGGAUUAGCUUGUUGGUGAGGUAAUGGCUCACCAAGGCGACGAUCCUUAGCUGGUCUGAGAGGAUGAUCAGCCACACUGGGACUGAGACACGGCCCAGACUCCUACGGGAGGCAGCAGUGGGGAAUAUUGGACAAUGGGCGAAAGCCUGAUCCAGCCAUGCCGCGUGAGUGAUGAAGGCCUUAGGGUUGUAAAGCUCUUUCGCCGGGGAAGAUAAUGACGGUACCCGGAAAAGAAGCCUCGGCUAACUCCGUGCCAGCAGCCGCAGUAAUAC
rnacentral:rRNA from 1 species